rnacentral:tRNA from 1 species
GGUUCUAUAGUUUAAUUGGAAAAAUUUUAGAAUACGAAUCUAAAGAUGAGAGUUCGAAUCUUUCUAGAACCUCA